rnacentral:rRNA from 1 species
AUGCAUAUCACGAAGAACGUGUGCGAGAGUCUGCUUGGUACCCUGCUCAACAUGCCAGAGAGGACCAAAGAUGGGCCGAAAGCAAGGGCAGACUUGAAAUCAAUGGGCAUCAGGCAGGAGCUUCACGCUAUAUAUGAUGAUGAUGAUGAUGAUGAUGAUGAUGAUGAUGAGGCGAAGCAGGACACGGAAAGUCGUCGCAAAGGCAAAAAGGCCAAAAAGACCGGAAAUGACUACCCUCCCGCGUGCUUCACUCUAAGUCAGGAGGAGAUCGAGCAGUUUUUCACCUGCCUCGUAGGAGUAAAACUUCCUUACGGUUACGCGGGGAAGAUAAGCAGAUACCUAGACCCAGCGAAGCUGAAGUUCAGCGGGAUGAAGUCUCACGACUGUCACGUGCUGAUGACGCAGAUACUUCUAGUUGCAAUCAGUGGGAUCAUGGACGUGCACGUCCGUGAAACCCUAUUUGGCCUAUGCAACUUUUUCGAUGUCAUCUCUCGGAAGUCUGUUGGCGUGAGGCAACUCAGAAGGCUACAGGAAGAGAUCGUGGUGAUACUAUGCGAGCUUGAGAUGUACUUCCCGCCCGCAUUCUUCGACGUUAUGGUGCAUCUGCUAGUCCAUAUCGUGGACGAUAUCAUCCAACUCGGGCCGACAUUCCUGCACAACAUGAUGCCGUUCGAAAGGAUGAAUGGUGUCAUCAAAGGAUACGUUCGCAACAUGUCACGUCCAGAGGGAAGCAUAGCCAGGGGCUUUCUGACCGAAGAGUGCAUCUCCUACUGCACGAAUUAUUUAGGCACCGAGAACCCCGUUGGUUUGCCCGUCAACAGGCACCUCGGCAGGCUCACUGGAUGGGGUCACCGUGAGGGUCGCCGCGAAAUGCAUGUCGACUUCGAGAGUCGACUCGCCGACUUUGAAAGAGCAAACCUAGUCGCGCUACAACACAUAGACGUGGUCGAUCCUUGGGUGGUAGAGCACAAAACCUUUAUUAAGAAGACGUACAAUGACCGAGGCUAA